CCAAAGAUUCCUGCACCCCUUGUUAUCAGAACUGCGGGGACACGGGAAGGGAAGCAGAGCCGGGAAUGGAAAGCCCGGUGCAAGCGAAGUAGUCGCAGGGUUGGAAAAUCCGCCCUGCAUGAGACGAAGGCGUGAUGCGGAGCGAAAUGAAGUAGUGAAGCUGCAGCCCCUUCCUGUCGAGAAAAGCCGCUAUCGUGUAGCAAGGGCCCGUACCGUAAACCGACACGGGUGGAUGAGGAGAGGAUCCUAAGGCCGGCGGGAGAAGUGUUGUUAAGGAACUCGGCAAAAUGACUCCGUAACUUCGGAAGAAGGAGUGCUGCGCAAGCAGCCGCAGAGAAAUGGCCCAAGCAACUGUUUAGCAAAAACACAGGUCUAUGCGAAACCGAAAGGUGAGGUAUAUGGGCUGACGCCUGCCCGGUGCUGGAAGGUUAAGGGGAGAGCUUAGCGCGAGCGAAGGUUUGAACUUAAGCCCCAGUAAACGGCGGCCGUAACGAUAACGGUCCUAAGGUAGCGAAAUUCCUUGUCGGGUAAGUUCCGACCCGCACGAAAGGCGUAAUGAUUUGGGCACUGUCUCAACAACACACCCGGUGAAAUUGAAAUACCAGUGAAGAUGCUGGUUACCCGCGCCAGGACGGAAAGACCCCAUGGAGCUUUACUCCAGCCUGAUACUGGGAUUCGGUAUUGCAUGUACAGGAUAGGUGGGAGGCUGAGAACUCAUGGCGCCAGCCGUGAGGGAGCCGGUGUUGGGAUACCACCCCUGCAGUACUGGGUUUCUAACCUGCGCCCGUGACCCGGGCGGGGGACAAUGUCAGGCGGGGAGUUUGACUGGGGCGGUCGCCUCCGAAAGGGUAUCGGAGGCGCUCAAAGGUCUCCUCAGGAUGGUUGGAAACCAUCCAGAGAGUGCAAAGGCAGAAGGAGGCUUGACUGCGACACCGACGGGUGGAGCAGGUACGAAAGUAGGACUUAGUGAUCCGGUGGCAUAAAGUGGGAUUGCCAUCGCUCAACGGAUAAAAGCUACCCUGGGAUAACAGGCUUAUCACUCCCAAGAGUUCACAUCGACGGAGUGGUUUGGCACCUCGAUGUCGGCUCAUCGCAUCCUGGAGCUGGAGCAGGUUCCAAGGGUUGGGCUGUUCGCCCAUUAAAGCGGUACGCGAGCUGGGUUCAGAACGUCGUGAGACAGUUCGGUCCCUAUCCGGCGCGGGCGCAGGAUAUCUGAGAGGAGCUGUCCUUAGUACGAGAGGACCGGGAUGGACCGUCCGCUGGUGGACCGGUUGUCAUGCCAAUGGCACGGCCGGGUAGCCAAGACGGGAAGGGAUAAACGCUGAAGGCAUCUAAGCGUGAAGCCCCCCUCAAGAUGAGAUAUCCAUACUCGAAAGAGUGAGAGACCCCUUAGAGACGAUGAGGUAGAUAGGGCAGAGAUGGAAGUGCAGCGAUGCAUGGAGUUGACUGUUACUAAUCGGUCGAAA
rnacentral:rRNA from 1 species